CAGGCUUCUGAAGUGCACUUUUCGGAUACAUGUUCACAAGAUGCGCACUUCGCGCACCUAGCGCACCCUCUGCACGUUUGGAAUCCGUGUCCGAAGUGCUGACACUUGAAACAUCGGCAAGGAUUCGGUAUAUACGGUCUGACACGAAGCUUACAGUAACCGGUUGCAAUGAAGUCAGGAAGGUUGCUUGUACCAAAGUGAGAAUCAAGCCCAGGACGUAUACAUGGCAAGCAGGUGUUCUACCAUGAAGCCACACCAAUGCUUGAAGCUUCUUUGCGCAAGAAAGCUAUGACAAUGUCAUGUACUCGGAGGAGUCUCCUUAACGCAUGUAAUAUAGCAUGGCAGAGGCAUAAAAUCACAACAACCAUCAAAA